rnacentral:rRNA from 1 species
CCUACGGGUGGCAGCAGUGGGGAAUAUUGGACAAUGGGGGGAACCCUGAUCCAGCGACGCCGCGUGAGUGAAGAAGUAUUUCGGUAUGUAAAGCUCUAUCAGCAGGGAAGAAAAUGACGGUACCUGACUAAGAAGCCCCGGCUAACUACGUGCCAGCAGCCGCGGUAAUACGUAGGGGGCAAGCGUUAUCCGGAUUUACUGGGUGUAAAGGGAGCGUAGACGGUGCAGCAAGUCUGAUGUGAAAGGUCGGGGCCCAACCCCGGGACUGCAUUGGAAACUGUUGAACUGGAGUGCAGGAGAGGUAAGCGGAAUUCCUAGGGGAGCGGUGAAAUGCGUAGAUAUUAGGAGGAACACCAGGGGCGAAGGCAGCUUACCAGGCUAUUUCUGACGUUGAGGCACGAAAGCGUGGGGAGCAAACAGGAUUAGAGACCCGGGUAGUC